rnacentral:tRNA from 1 species
UUCUUUUUAGUAUAUAAAUUACAUUAUUUUUUCAAAAUAAUAAAGAAUAUUAAUAGUAUUCAAAAGAAA